AUGUGGCUUUCUCUCCCGCUUUACCAAUUAUUUUUGAAAAAAACUUUUUACUUUAUUAUUUUUAAAAAAUGUUUAAUUUUCAUAGGUGAUUGGGGAACAGAUGGUGUUUGGUUACAUGGGUAAUUCACAGACUUCUUCUUGGUUUGGAUCCAUUGCUGGUGAGCUAGUCUGAUUUUUUUGGGGGGCAUUAAAGAACUUUGUUUUCUCAUAUUGCUGGAGUUGGUUUUCUGGUUCGUUCUCAUUUGGGUAGGCUCUGUCAGAGGCAAGGUCUAGGGCUGAAGGCUGUUGUUCAGAUUCUUUUAUCCCAUGGGGUGUUCCCUUGAUGUACUCCUCUCUCUCUUUUCCUAUGGAUAUGGCUUACUGAGAGUCAAGCUGUAGUGAUUGUUAUCUCUCUUCUGAGUCUAACAACCCAGCAAGACUACCAGGCUCUGGGCUGGUACUGGGGGUUGUCUGCAGACAGUUCCUGUGACAUAAACCAUUUGUGGGUCUCUCAGCCAUAGAUGACAGCACCUGUUCCGGUGGAGAUGGUAUAGGGGGUGAAAUGGACUCAGAUUUCUUAGCUUUGGUGCUUUAAUAUAUUAUUUUUGUGCUGGUUGGCAUCCUGCCAGGCGAUGGCGCUUUACAGAGAGCAUCAGCUGUGGUAGUAUGGGGAGGAAAAGGAGGUGGGUAGACCCCUAAAACUUCCAAGAGUAUAUACACUUUAUCUUCAGUUACCAGGGUGAGUAGAGAAGGACUAUUGGGUGGGGGCAUGGCUAGGUAUCUCUGAGCAUAGACUUUCCUUGGGCGAGUCU
rnacentral:lncRNA from 1 species